CCUACGGGUGGCAGCAGUGGGGAAUAUUGCACAAUGGGGGGAACCCUGAUGCAGCGACGCCGCGUGGGUGAGGAAGUACUUCGGUAUGUAAAGCCCUAUCAGCAGGGAAGAAAAUGACGGUACCUGACUAAGAAGCCCCGGCUAACUACGUGCCAGCAGCCGCGGUAAUACGUAGGGGGCAAGCGUGAUCCGGAUUUAUUGGGUUUAAAGGGUGCGUAGGCGGACGCUUAAGUCAGCGGUAAAAUUGCGGGGCUCAACCUCGUCGAACCGUUGAAACUGGGUGCCUUGAGUGGGCGAGAAGUACGCGGAAUGCGUGGUGUAGCGGUGAAAUGCAUAGAUAUCACGCAGAACUCCGAUUGCGAAGGCAGCGUACCGGCGCCCAACUGACGCUGAAGCACGAAGGCGUGGGUAUCGAACAGGAUUAGAUACCCUUGUAGUC
rnacentral:rRNA from 1 species